ensembl:lncRNA
CCGGGCUCGCGUCUCCAGUUGCGGGAAAGAAUGGGACUUGUAGGCGUAGGCCCUAGUUAUUGCUGCAGCGUGGGCUGGCCUUCCUCGCCCUCACCCGGUACUGCCCCCUUGCUCUAAAUCUGCUCAUUCCCAGAGUACCUGAUUAUAAGAAUCGUCUGCUAGGCUUGAUUGAAUGCAUAGAUUAACAGGUUUGUCCCUUAGAGCUUCUGAUUCAGUAUUUCGAGGUCGUGGCCUCGGAAUCCGUGAUUUUAAUGUAUAUUCCCACGCCCUUGAGCAACAAAUAUCAUCUGGGAAAUGUGAUCCAAAAAUGGAGGCACAGAGUUUGUUACCCUGAUCACCUAGCUAAAGGUGGAAGAGGAGGGGCUGAAGUCAGGUCUCCUAAAUCCAAAUCUUGGCCACGUUUAAUCUAAGGUGUACUACAUUUUAUGAGCUGCUGCUGCUGCUGCUGCUGCUAAGUCGCUUCAGUCGUGUCCAACUCUGUGCGACCCCAUAGACGGCAGCCCACUAGGCUCCUCUGUCCCUGGGAUUCUCCAGGCAAGAAUACUGGAGUGGGUUGCCAUUUCCUUCUCCAAUGCAUGAAAGAAAAAAGUGAAAGUGAAUUCACUCAGUCCUGUCCGACUCUUAGCGACCCCAUGGACUGCAGCCCACCAGGCUCCUCCAUCCAUGGAUUUUCCAGGCAAGAAUACUGGAGUGGGUUGCCAUUUCCUUCUCCAAUGCAUGAAAGUGAAAAGUGAAAGUGAAGUCGCUCAGUCGUGCCCAACUCUUACUGACCCCAUGGACUGCAGCCUAAGCUGACAUCAAAGCACGGAAUCUGAAUCAAAGAAAUUUGGAAGAAGAGAACUUUCUCAUCCAAGUGGCUGUCGGCACCCCCACCCCGGCUGAAGCGCUCCCUUGUUCUCGCCUGCUCUGCCCCAGAUUCAUGGGCUGCGCUCGGGAUCGUUGGCAGUUUUCUCUGCACUGUCCUGACAACCUCCGGCCAUGAAACUAAAAAGCUAGUUACCGAAUCUCGCUCCUCCCGGCUUUGUCCUUGCCAGGGAUUCAACAGAGAAAUCUGGAAGAGGGAGCCUCCCCGCGCCUGCAGCAGGCUGAGAUGCCACCAGAAUGACAAUGGGCUGGGGUGUGGGAGGAGGGGAGCGUGCGCGGCGUGCCAGGAAUGAAUGAAUGAAUGAGAGGGAGUGAGAGAGAGAGCAAGUGAAUUGUGGGCUUCAAAUAAAAAAAUUCCAGGGUCUCGACAGAGGUGCUGGUGCCUGUACUCCAAGGCUUGCUACCAAAUGCUGAGCUGGGCACUUUUCCCCAGGCGGGUGCCCUCUGGCCCUCUGCCAAGGUACAGAGCUUGGGGCUGCAGAAGGGAGAAGUAGGACUUUGGGGGCGGAAAUGGCUCCAAACUGGGGCAAGCCCUGGGAGGCCAGCCUACCCAGUCAGCUUGCUGUCUGGCCAAACUCCCCCUCCCAUCCCCCUACCACCUCAAAGGUCUCCGCUGAAUUUAGACAUUAGUACUCACUCCACAUACCCUCCCCACUACCCCUCCCUAACCCACUAGAGGAAUUUUAAGAAAUCCACAAAAACCAGAGGAAUUUUGAUUACCCUUAAUUAAGGAAAAGCUUUCCAG